GGGGGUAUAAAAGGCUGGGCUGAGGGACAAGGAGGCCACAUGCUGCAGCCCUCUGGAGUGGAAUGGUGUUCGUGUGUGUGGAUUGAAGCUUUCUGACAUUGUAUGGUGAUGCCCUGUGCAUUGUGACCCUCUUCACUGCAGUGUGAGUUUUGACAGUGCUUCACCUCCCAGGAGAGCACUGAGGAAAAGUGCUUCUCACUUUCUUGGCACCUGGAGGAGCUGCUUCCAAGCCCAAGGAAGCUGUUGAUGAAGCAGUGGAGGGAGUUUUUUCUUCUUGGUCAACGUGGAAGGAGCUUGUCAUGAAGAUCUAUGAAGCAGCUGCAGACUAAUGUCACUGGGAAUGAGAGGAGAUUUUGACCCUGUUUGUUGGAGAGGAAACUGAAAGUAAUGAGCCCAGAGUGCGAGGAGACCUCUAGAACUGGAAAAUUUGGAAGCUGCACAGCAGGAUCACAACAGCCACUGGAGCUUUGGGUUUGCUGCAGUUAAUAUGUGACACGGAAAAGGGAGGGAAUUUCUUAUCCCUCACACUUUCCCUUUACAAUAAAAGCUAGAAUGUAAUAUUUCCAAAGAUUAGACUUUAAGAAUUGCAGCAAAUAUGUUCAGCUAAUGGCUUUUCUCGGUGAAUGGAAUGGUACACCAGCUGAGCUUUUCCUGCUCUCUCAGUUCCCUGGAAAAUUCUGAACAUUGUAAUAAGUUCAGAGGUGAAAUUGAUGGCAGGUCACACAGCUACUGGCUGAGGAGUGCUGAUGUGUACUCUGAGAAUGGUUAAUAGUUCAUUUUAUUGCACAGCCAAAAUAAGACAGAGCUGUAGUGCAGACUCUUUUCCACUUGUACUCUGGGGAUUCUGAAACAUUUCACUUUUUCCUGGUGGCUAUAUGGAGCAAAACAAAACAUCAGCCAGUAGUUUACAUUUUUGCUGCCUGCUUUAUUUAGCACCAUCCCUGAAGUGACUCUGGGCAUUUAUAAAUAGAGAACUCUCACAACACUGAGCCCAUGUGAAAGAUGGUGUCGGCUUUCCUCUGUGGAGAUUAAAAACAGAGGAUUUUUUGUGCCAAGCCCAACUUCAUGGCUGAGUUAAGCCAGGGAGCCUGUUUUCUGUCCCAUCAUUGGCUGUGUUGGGGAUUAAUGGUAUAACUUGUUCUGUCAGUCUGUCUUUGCAAGUCAAUUCACUGGUCUGCAAUGUGAUAGGUACUUAAAAACGAGCCUUGACUCUAGAUCCAUGCAGGAGUCCUUCCUAAGAGAAGGAUGCAUUGCAAAAUGGACAGGCAUUGCCAUUUUUCAGAAUCUUGUGUUAGUAAAAUUGCUACUGGGUUGGAAUGGAAAUAUUUUAUAUCCCUAAAAAUUAGGGGCUUAAUCUUACCAUGAGACAUCAUUUAUUAGAAGUGUUUCUUUCUGAAACUUUGUGUAAUUCUUUCUGUUCUUUUCUAUAUUCAGUUGUCUUUGUGUCAGUAAAAGACAGUUAAUUACACAUCAAUGCAAGGAAAACAUUCAGGUUCUUUUUAGAUGUUUUAUAUGUUUAACAGCUAAAAUCAAAGAGGAUUCCAGCCUAGUGGAAGUUUUGCUUAGGUUGCUAUUCAGCAAAACCAUAGAUCAGAACUUCCCCAAAGGGAACCAACAGCCCUACAAACAAUAUAAACCAGCCUGGUGACAUGGAGAAGUACCUGAUGGCAAGGGCUCUGAAGAAAGCAUGCUUUAAAAUCCUGUUUUGUGCACAGAUGUGGAUGCUCAAAACAGGAAUCUUUCUUUGAGAAGGGGUCAGGACACAAUACAAAUAAAUCAGUAAACCAGAAACGCUUGUGGGACAAAAUAUUUCAGUCUUUCAGGCAGUUGAAGUCCAGACAUUCAGGGGAAGUAAGUUAAAUAACUGGUGGUGCAUUUGAAUGAGAACAUUCAUCUUUUUUGUCAAAGCCCCACAGAUAUUCUUCAAACUGACAGAAGCAUCUGACCACAUUUCCCCCUUUCCCUACCCUGAAUGAACUUGUGAACUAGUUGGGCGCUGCCUGGGUUCCGGGCAUUUCAAUAGUUCUGGCUGUAUUCUAACAUUCAGCCUAGAGGAAUUCCUGUUAAUUUUCUUUAUGCUCUUUAUUAAGCUUUUGUUUUGUUCCUUCAGGACUUUUCUGCGUGUUGAAUGGGAAAACCAUUUUAUCUGAUGCAGUUUACAUUUCCGUAAUGGUGAACCACACAGAAGAGCCUGGAAGAGACCAAGGGUUUUUUUUGUAGAAACAGCCAGCCAUCCUCCUGCCCAAGUAUAGUGCAACCUGCACUGUCGAAAGCCACGUUCUUUUGGCUGAUUUUCUGGUCAUAUUAGGAGUGUGGACACACUUCCAGCCCAGAUUAAAUAUGGACCUUAAUGUACAAAUUAGGUAAAAUACCAGUGGGUAGUCAAAUGGUAGAACUUGAUACGUUACCAAAAGAGAUGAUGUUUGAUGCCAAAAAAUCAAGAAAUACUUCAGAUAUUGUUUAUUUCAAAAGCUGACUUCCUGUGAGAAAUUCCAAGCCAUGCCAGCUGAAUCCAAUAAAAGGACAGGAGACCUUGGAGUGUGUAGAGGCAUAGAAAGCAUUCUAGUAACUCUUUCCUGUCUCGUGGUGGUUUUGAAUUGAAUCAAAUAAUUCCCCAAUCUUAAAGAAAACACCUGUGAAAGCAUUUUUUCUUGAACUGCUUGAGAUGGUUGACAGAAAAACACUGAAGACUCUAUCAGCACCACUCAUAAGAAUGCCAGAGUAAGAAAAACAGAGGACAGGAUCUCUUGCAACUGAAAUAUCUGCAUCAGUAAAAGUGUUGGUUGUCUUCUAGAACCACAUGAUUUCAUCCUAAAUUGCUUCUUCAGCACAGAGUGAAAUAACAAUAGAAGUUUUUUCUUCUUGGAGGAAAGGGCCUAAAGAAGACAUCAGCCUGAAUAUGCAUCAAGAUGACGCAGGCAGGAAAAAGAUGAAUGCUGCCUUAGUAACCUCUGAAUUCUCAGUGCUGGAAUUCCUCCCAAGCCUUUUCAAGCCAGCCAUGUCAUGGAAAUGGCUGCCAGUGAUUUAUCCAGAGCUUGGCAUAAGUCCUUGGCUGGGUGGGGAGGAAGAGUUUGGCCAACAGAAGUAUACCAACUCAGGAUUGCAAGAAUCUGUGAAACUGGACCAAAUUAAAUUUAUUUGGUUCUUAUUGAUGCAACCUUGCUCAAGCUUAUAGGAGUUUUUACCAGCAGGAAGACUUUCAAAGUGUCAAGCAUUAUAAAGAUGCAGGAGUGCACACUGACAGGUAAAAAAAUAUUGUAAAAAAAUAUACAACAAAGAAAACCCAAAAAUGACACCCAAAAGCAGAUAAGUCCAGGUGUUGUGUCCACAGCCUCCUCACUUGGCCCACCUCUUUCCUGAAGAGUGCUGCUCAGCACUGAACAACAGCUGCUGGACCUAAAAUACCUGUGAAUCUGUCUAGCCUGUGCUUGUGCUGAGCUGUUCACCACAACCUGUUUGAGGACAACCAUCCAGCCAAUAUCUUAUCCACUGAGAGGUCCAUCCAUCAAAUCCAUGUCUCUGCAGUUUGGAGACAAGGAUGCCGUGAGGGACAAAAAGCUGUGCACAAAUCCAGGUGGAUGACAAGCCCAGGCUUCACACUAAAGCGUUCUCCAGCUGAGUUAUGCCCCUUAGUCAUGGAAUUCACACCCCAAGCCCUCCGCUGACGCAAACCUUGAAGAGCAGCUCUGUGGAGGAUAACCUAAGUGCUGCCUCCCGAGCUGAGUGUGCUGUCCUUCCUUGUUAUUGUAACAUUGAUAUACAUAUCUUCCUUUCCUCAUCUGUUAUACCCUAAUGUCAUUAGGACGAGCCUGCAGCACUUUUAAGAGCUGGCUGCCCAGCCUCUUUGACGUCAUUGCAGAAAGGUCUCGGCUGCGGAGCCUGCACAUACUGUCUGUGAUAUAGUGUAUAAAAAUCCAUGUCAGUGCUGGCUCUCAGGGAGCUCUGGAAAUGAUUCAGCUGUCUGGAAUGGGCAGAUGGCUGCUAUCAAAGUUUUAUUAUCACCAUCAUUAUUAUUACAGUGGUUUGUGACACAUAUUGAACUUUCAGGCUAGUGUUAAAGCUAAAGUAUUUGAGCAACACUUUCUGAAAUUCAAAUCCCUCAAAUCCUUUCCAAUCUGACUCCAAAAAGCAGGAGUAGGUUUAAAGCUAAUUAGACAGAUUGCUUGGUUCCACUUCCAACUUUCAGAAUAAUUAUCUGAAAAUUCUUGUUCUCAUGUAAACGCAACUGUUAACUAUUUUUAAUUGCUUUGAUUUAUUGCAGAACUUAAAUUCAGUACAUAUUGAAUGUUCAGCAGGGUGGAAAGAAAAUUUGAGUUAGUUAAGGGUGCAUAUGCAUUGGAUUGCCUACCAAGUUUUUACUCUUUGAAAAAGCUUGCAGUCAACCUAGGCUACUGCAUACUGCCUGCUGGAGGCAUCCUCUGUCUCUAACUACACACACUGAGGAAUUUCUAGGCAGACAUCUUCUCCUGUUUGGUUUUCCUUCACCAUCAACCUCUUCCUCCACACUUAGAGAUGUCUCAGCCAAGGGAUCUACAGGGCAAGCUUUCAUUUAUUAAGGGACAGUUUGUUUCAUAGUUUUCUACUCUUUGUAGCUUCAUCUUGUCCAGUAUCUUCAUAACACCCUGGAGUUUCUUCCAGUGUCAGAAACUCUACCCCAGAAACUGCUUUUCUAGCCUAGGCUGAGUCUGAUAUGUUCCUUCCUAGAGGCAAAGUGAAAUAAAACCACUAUUUUCCCCUCCUAAGUAUGGUUCUAUUCUCUGUUCCCUCUUCUGUAACAGAGUUUUGUACCCAGAUAAGUCUGACAGUAAUUGUUGCUUGCUACUCCAGACACUCUCAGAGAACCACUAAUCGUUCUUUAUCAGGCUGCAUUUAGGUGCUGAGGAAUCUCCUGAGAGAUUUCAAAUAACCUAAUCACCAAAUGAAGGCAUUUCAGUGAGCUUAUGUCUGCCAUGCUUUCAGUUAAUUUCCCCAGCCACCCUGAGGGUUUGUCCAGGAAGCUGUGUCUGUAUCCCCUGAAGUC